GUUGUAUAGUUAAGUGACUAAGCGUACAAGGUGGAUGCCUUGGCAAUCAGAGGCGAAGAAGGACGUGCUAAUCUGCGAAAAGCUUGGAUGAGUCGAUAAGAGGCGUUUAAUCCAAGAUAUCCGAAUGGGGAAACCCAGUAGAUGAAGAAUCUACUAUCAACAAGUGAAUUCAUAGCUUGUUGAGGCAAACCGGGAGAACUGAAACAUCUAAGUACCCCGAGGAAAAGAAAUCAACCGAGAUUUCGUCAGUAGCGGCGAGCGAAAGCGAAAGAGCCAGUAAGUGAUAGCAAUAUAGUGAGGAGAAUGUGUUGGGAAACACAAUCAAAGAGGGUGAUAAUCCCGUAUCUAAAAACCAUAUUGUGGUACUAAGCUAACGAGAAGUAGGGCGGGACACGUGAUAUCCUGUUUGAAGAAGGGGGGACCAUCCUCCAAGGCUAAAUACUCCUGAUUGACCGAUAGUGAACCAGUACUGUGAAGGAAAGGCGAAAAGAACCCCGGUGAGGGGAGUGAAAUAGAACCUGAAACCUUGUACGUACAAGCAGUGGGAGCCCCAUCACUUAAUCCGAUUGGAAGGUGAUGAAAAGCAACCGCACUUAAACAAUGGUAAGAGGAGCGAAGCGAGUCAAACCACCCAAAAGAAGCAGUGGGAUUAAGUGAUGGGGUGACUGCGUACCUUUUGUAUAAUGGGUCAGCGACUUAUAUUUUGUAGCGAGGUUAACCGAAUAGGGGAGCCGAAGGGAAACCGAGUCUUAACUGGGCGAAUAGUUGCAAGGUAUAGACCCGAAACCCGGUGAUCUAGCCAUGGGCAGGUUGAAGGUUGGGUAACACUAACUGGAGGACCGAACCGACUAAUGUUGAAAAAUUAGCGGAUGACUUGUGGCUGGGGGUGAAAGGCCAAUCAAACCGGGAGAUAGCUGGUUCUCCCCGAAAUCUAUUUAGGUAGAGCCUUGAGGUGACACCUUUGGGGGUAGAGCACUGUUUCGGCUAGGGGUCCAUCCCGGAUUACCAACCCGAUGCAAACUACGAAUACCAAAGAGUGAUACUCAGGAGACACACGGCGGGUGCUAACGUCCGUCGUGGAGAGGGAAACAACCCAGACCGCCAGCUAAGGUCCCCAAGUCUAUAUUAAGUGGGAAACGAAGUGGGAAGGCUUAGACAGCUAGGAUGUUGGCUUAGAAGCAGCCAUCAUUUAAAGAAAGCGUAAUAGCUCACUAGUCGAGUCGGCCUGCGCGGAAGAUGUAACGGGGCUGAAAUAUAGCACCGAAGCUGCGGCAUCAGGCGUAUCACUAAUACGCCUUACGAUUAACAAGCUAGAAUGGCGCGAAGCGUCAUGAAAGGUUGUUCAAGCAACCCGAACGUUGAGUCGGGCAUCUUAGAGUAAGGAUGAUUAGUGAUACGCCUGUUGGGUAGGGGAGCGUUGUGUAAGCGGAAGAAGGUUGAUCGAGAGGUGGGCUGGACGUAUCACAAGUGCGAAUGCUGACAUAAGUAACGAUAAAACGGGUGAAAAACCCGUUCGCCGGAAGACCAAGGGUUCCUGUCCAACGUUAAUCGGGGCAGGGUGAGUCGGCUCCUAAGGCGAGGCUGAAAAGCGUAGUCGAUGGGAAACAGGUUAAUAUUCCUGUACUUGGUAAAGCUGCGAUGUGGGGACGGAGUAGGUUAGGUUAUCGCACUGUUGGAUAUGUGCGUUUAAGUUGGUAGGUGGGAAGUUUAGGCAAAUCCGGACUUCCUUAACACAGAGAGAUGAUGACGAGGCUCUACGGAGCUGAAGUAACUGAUACCACACUUCCAGGAAAAGCCACUAAGCGAAAGGCUUUACUAAACCGUACUGAAAACCGACACAGGUGGUCAGGUAGAGAAUACUCAGGCGCUUGAGAGAACUCGGGUGAAGGAACUAGGCAAAAUAGCACCGUAACUUCGGGAGAAGGUGCGCCGGCGUAGAUUGUAAGGGCUAGCCCCUGAAGGUUGAACCGGUCGAAGAUACCAGCUGGCUGCAACUGUUUAUUAAAAACACAGCACUCUGCAAACACGAAAGUGGAGGUAUAGGGUGUGAUGCCUGCCCGGUGCUGGAAGGUUAAUUGAUGGUGUCAUCGAAAGAGAAGCACCUGAUCGAAGCCCCAGUAAACGGCGGCCGUAACUAUAACGGUCCUAAGGUAGCGAAAUUCCUUGUCGGGUAAGUUCCGACCUGCACGAAUGGCAUAAUGAUGGCCAGGCUGUCUCCACCCGAGACUCAGUGAAAUUGAAAUCGCCGUGAAGAUGCGG
rnacentral:rRNA from 1 species